UAGCGAAAGCGAGUCUGAAUAGGGCGCAUAAGUAACAGGUCGUAGACCCGAAACCAGGUGAUCUACCCAUGUCCAGGAUGAAGGUAAGGUAAUACUUACUGGAGGUCCGAACCCACGCACGUUGAAAAGUGCGGGGAUGAGGUGUGGGUAGCGGAGAAAUUCCAAUCGAACUUGGAGAUAGCUGGUUCUCUCCGAAAUAGCUUUAGGGCUAGCCUCGAGGUAAAGAGUCAUGGAGGUAGAGCACUGUUUGGACUAGGGGCCCUUCUCGGGUUACCGAAUUCAGAUAAACUCCGAAUGCCAUGUACUUAUACUCGGGAGUCAGACUGCGAGUGAUAAGAUCCGUAGUCGAAAGGGAAACAGCCCAGACCACCAGUUAAGGUCCCCAAAUAUAUGUUAAGUGGAAAAGGAUGUGGGGUUGCUUAGAAACCAGGAUGUUGGCUUAGAAGCAGCCACCAUUGAAAGAGUGCGUAAUAGCUCACUGGUCGAGU
rnacentral:rRNA from 1 species